GAUGAAGAACGUAGCGAAAUGCGAUAAGUAAUGUGAAUUGCAGAAUUCAGUGAAUCAUCGAAUCUUUGAACGCACAUUGCGCCUGUCAGUAUUCUGGCGGGCAUGCCUGUUCGAGCGUCAUUACGCCCCUCAAGUCCCCUGUGGACUUGGUGUUGGGGAUCGGCGAGGCUGGUUUUCCAGCACAGCCGUCCCUUAAAUUAAUUGGCGGUCUCGCCGUGGCCCUCCUCUGCGCAGUAGUAAAACACUCGCAACAGGAGCCCGGCGCGGUCCACUGCCGUAAAACCCCCCAACUUUUUAUAGUUGACCUCGAAUCAGGUAGGACUACCCGCUGAACUUAAGCAUAUCAAUAAGCGGAGGA
rnacentral:misc_RNA from 1 species